GACGAACGCUGGCGGCGUGCCUAAUACAUGCCAGUCGAGCGAACAGACGAGGAGCUUGCUCCUCUGACGUUAGCGGCGGACGGGUGAGUAACACGUGGAUAACCUACCUAUAAGACUGGGAUAACUUCGGGAAACCGGAGCUAAUACCGGAUAAUAUAUUGAACCGCAUGGUUCAAUAGUGAAAGACGGUUUUGCUGUCACUUAUAGAUGGAUCCGCGCCGCAUUAGCUAGUUGGUAAGGUAACGGCUUACCAAGGCAACGAUGCGUAGCCGACCUGAGAGGGUGAUCGGCCACACUGGAACUGAGACACGGUCCAGACUCCUACGGGAGGCAGCAGUAGGGAAUCUUCCGCAAUGGGCGAAAGCCUGACGGAGCAACGCCGCGUGAGUGAUGAAGGUCUUCGGAUCGUAAAACUCUGUUAUUAGGGAAGAACAAAUGUGUAAGUAACUAUGCACGUCUUGACGGUACCUAAUCAGAAAGCCACGGCUAACUACGUG
rnacentral:rRNA from 1 species